ensembl:snRNA U6 U6 spliceosomal RNA
UUGCUCACUCACUUCAGCAGCACAUACACUAAAAUUGGAAUGAUACAGAAGAUUUGCAUGACUCCCGCUCAAGGGAGACACAAAAAUUUGUUAAGCAUUCCAUAUUUUC